AAGAGUUUUUUUUUUUUUUUUUUUUUUUUUUUUUUUUUUUGAUAGAGAGGAAGAUAGUAUGCUACCGCUUCGUUUAUUUUUUAAAAAAUUAAAUUUAUCUGCAAAUGUGAAUCAAUAAGAAUUCAAAUUUGAGACCUCGAAUAUUAAUUAUUAAGCUUUUUACCACUUGCACAGUGGACGAUUGGUAAUAUAUAUAGCAUCCGUUUGGUUCGGGGUUAAUAGGUGGAAUAACUCCUUAAUUCCGAAGUUAUUUUAAAAUACCAAAUUUGGUGGGUGGGGUUAACUAACCCCAUCCCAAAUUGGGUAUCGCGGGAUAGAAUAUUUGGGGCCCCACCCUAAUAUUCCAACCAAACAAAAUACUAUUUUACUUACUAUCCUUCUUAUCCCACUUACUCCAACUAAAUAAUAUUUUAUCUAUAUCUGGACUAAAGUCAAUUCUCAACCAAACACAAAAUUACUCUAACCCUAUCUUAAUGCUGAACUUAACUCUAUUCCUGAAAUAACAAAUUUUUACUUAACCCUGAACCAAACUGUGGCAAAAAAUUUUAUUAUGAUAAAAAUUA
rnacentral:lncRNA from 1 species